AAGUUAGCGGCGGACGGGUGAGUAACACGUGGGUAACCUGCCCAUAAGACUGGGAUAACUCCGGGAAACCGGGGCUAAUACCGGAUAACAUUUUGAACUGCAUGGUUCGAAAUUGAAAGGCGGCUUCGGCUGUCACUUAUGGAUGGACCCGCGUCGCAUUAGCUAGUUGGUGAGGUAACGGCUCACCAAGGCAACGAUGCGUAGCCGACCUGAGAGGGUGAUCGGCCACACUGGGACUGAGACACGGCCCAGACUCCUACGGGAGGCAGCAGUAGGGAAUCUUCCGCAAUGGACGAAAGUCUGACGGAGCAACGCCGCGUGAGUGAUGAAGGCUUUCGGGUCGUAAAACUCUGUUGUUAGGGAAGAACAAGUGCUAGUUGAAUAAGCUGGCACCUUGACGGUACCUAACCAGAAAGCCACGGCUAACUACGUGCCAGCAGCCGCGGUAAUACGUAGGUGGCAAGCGUUAUCCGGAAUUAUUGGGCGUAAAGCGCGCGCAGGUGGUUUCUUAAGUCUGAUGUGAAAGCCCACGGCUC
rnacentral:rRNA from 1 species